rnacentral:tRNA from 1 species
UGCCCGAUCGUCUAGUGGUAGGACACCUGAUUUUGGCUCAGGCAGCUGUGGUUCGAAUCCACAUCGGGCAUCCA